rnacentral:rRNA from 1 species
GGUUGCGAUCAUACCAGCACCAAUGCACUGGAUUCUAUCAGAACUCCGCUGUUAAGGGUGCUUGGGCGAGAGUAGUACUAGGAUGGGUGACCCCCUGGGAAGUCCUCGUGUUGCAACCC